rnacentral:rRNA from 1 species
UACGGAGGGGGCUAGCGUUGUUCGGAAUUACUGGGCGUAAAGCGCGCGUAGGCGGCCUGACAAGUCGGGUGUGAAAGCCCUCGGCUCAACCGAGGAAGUGCACUCGAAACUGGCAAGCUUGAGUAUGGAAGAGGGUCGCGGAAUUCCCGGUGUAGAGGUGAAAUUCGUAGAUAUCGGGAGGAACACCAGCGGCGAAGGCGGCGACCUGGGCCAAUACUGACGCUGAGGUGCGAAAGCGUGGGGAGCAAACAGG